UACGAAGGGGGCUAGCGUUGCUCGGAAUUACUGGGCGUAAAGGGCGCGUAGGCGGCGUGUCAAGUCAGGCGUGAAAGCCCCGGGCUCAACCUGGGAACCGCGCUUGAGACUGGCAUGCUCGAGUUCGGGAGAGGAUGGUGGAAUUCCCAGUGUAGAGGUGAAAUUCGUAGAUAUUGGGAAGAACACCGAUGGCGAAGGCAGCCAUCUGGACCGACACUGACGCUGAGGCGCGAAAGCGUGGGGAGCAAACAGG
rnacentral:rRNA from 1 species